CAGUGCUGCAGUGUCAGGAGGCAGCACCCUUGGGGCAGCACAACAUGACCUGGGCUCUGCUCCUGCUUAUGUUCCUCACUGAGGGCACAGGUGA
rnacentral:pre_miRNA from 1 species